UACUUGCAGGUAAUGUUCAUUAACUCUUUCCACAAAUAAUACAUGCAUGUCUCCUUCCAUGAUUAAAUACAUGCACCAGCUCUCCGAUCUCAUUACACAUGCUCUGUAUUAACAGAAAUUAUAGAGAGAAAUCAACGAUAAACUUGAAAUUUAGAUCUCCAAAUACAGAGCAUAUACGUCCUCUCCUUACAAGGUGACAACACAUGUAACCUUCUUUGACAAUAGAACAAUUAUUUUAGAUGAUUUAAAUCCUUUGUUUGAAAACAAUCCAUAGGAAAAAGAAUCUUAUCCGGAAACUGAUUCUUCUGUACAAAUAACUUCAGCAUCCUUGAGAACAGUGUGGUGCCUAACAUGUUUACAUUAAAUUAUCAUCGACAAUUCUGAAUUUCUGGACAAAUAAAAUCGAUUAUUUAUAAGAUGUCCUCACUUUCAGAUAUCUUAGAUGAGGAAUAAUAUCCAACGAGUACUUCUAAAAAACAAUGGGAAACCAUGACAUAUGUAUUAAUUCUUAGACAAAGUGUUACACCUUUUACCUCAUUUAUUUCAGGAUUCGCUGGCC
rnacentral:lncRNA from 1 species